ensembl:lncRNA
CUCGCCAAGCUGCCGGGACCAUGUGCAGCUCAGGGAUGUUUUCUGACGGGUGGUCCUCGGCGCAGCAGGGGUCCGCCUCCGCGUGGGGCUCCAGGGCCCACAGGCUGGGGCCCAUGGCCCAGGGGUCAAUGCCAGGCACCUUGCUGCUGAGGAAGCCCUCCAGGAGGAAGGACUCCGGCAGACCCGCAGCCUCGUCACCCCACGGGUCCUCGUGGGACAGGCAGAGCGAGCCGGAGUCACUGAGGUCUGUGGGCAGGCGGGAGGGGGACAGGGUGACACCGCCCCCUGCCUGGCUGCUGGGCUCGGGCUGGGGAGGUGGCCUCGACUUUUUACAGCGCUUCCCAUAGACACGGGGGUUCUUCUUCCGAACCAAGCGGUCUCCCAGGGGGAAGAGCUGGGAAAAGGAGGCCUCAUCAUCAAACAAGCUCAGAGGGUCUCCGAGAUUCGGGCUGGGGGCUUCAGGAGCAGGGCCCUCCUGCUCCUGGACCCCCGCUCCUGGACCGUGCAGGGGGUCCUGGAGGCAACUGCUGAUGGUGCCGCCUGCUUCAGAACCACGAGUCUCGGGAGGGCCCUGGGGGUCCCGGGGGGGCUCGCGCCCCUCCCAGGCACCUUGCCCUGAUCUGCUCUCGGCCACUCUGCUGUCCCCUGCAGGUUUACCCCCAGCUGCCCUCGACGGCCCUUUGCAGAUGCCCGACAUCCUGGUCUCUCGGGGUCCCCCGCACCCUCUUGCCGAGGCUGCUUUCCGCCCCGCUGGCCCUUCUGGCCCAGGAGGUGCCCCCUCCACCAUCCCUGGACAGGCCACCCGAUCCCCAGGAGACUUCCGUGCAGGCCUCUGCUCCAGGUCCGUGGCGACGAGAGGCGGCUGCGUGGACUCACUCUCCCGCUCUGCCUCUGGGGAGAGGUGGCGGCUCGGGAGAGCCGGGCAGUUGGCGAUGGUAGUUGACGGAUUCCAGCCUCUUCUCCCUGAGGUCACAUCUGCAGGGCCCUGGAGACCGCUCUCCUCCCGGAACCUUCUCGCUCUUGGCUUUCUCGCCCUCUUGCUGGCUUUCCCCUCUGACUCGCUGGGGAAGUCUGCGGGCGGCCUGCCCCGCCUCUGGCCCCCGCCUUUCUUUGUCUGUCUGGAGAGGGGCUCAUCCCUCUCCAGCUGGUCCUGUUUGCUGGGCUCUGCAGGCCUCAUGUCCACCCCUUGCUUGACCGUGUCUGGGGGGUGCGGUUCCCAGCGAGGGGGACAGCCUGGUGCUCCCGGAAGGCUGAGCCCCCGCCUAAGCCCCUUGGACAUCUCGGGACCCAGGGCACCCUCGGGAGCCGCAGAGCCGCCAACAGGGGUUCGCUUACCGGCCUGGCUGGGGUCUCCCACCAGGCGCCUCGCUUUCUCCUUCCCCGGCGCCCUGCGGCUCUUCUUCCCGGCUGGGUGGCAUGUCUGGGGGGCAGGUGGGGCCGCUGGGCUUGGCUGGGAGGCAGUACCCCUGUGCAGCCCAUGCUUCCUGGCUCUGUGGCGGCUCAGGCCCGGCCCAGAGCGGAAGGAGGCCGAGCAGACCUCGCAGGUCACGGGCUGCCCGCUGGGGGCUCCGCCCUUCCAGUGGCCGUUCUCAGUGAACCCAGGCUUCUUUUUAAAGCCACGAGGCUUCUGUCUGGGGUCCUGGGGACUGAGGGGACCCCCCUGGGGUCUCUGGUGGAGGAUGUUUCCGAGGCUCUGGGGGGAGUGGGCUCUGGCGUCGCUGGCUGUGCCGCUCGGAGCCGUGGUUCUGCCUGGGUGGAGCUCUGUGGCAGGGCAGGUGGCCCUCAGACCCCUGGUGCCAGCUUCGGAUGCCUCUGUAACGGCAGGGCGCCCAGGCCCGGGCCUCUCUAGGCCCUCCUGUUCCUGGCGGCGGGCCUCUGCCUCGCCU